AUUGUUGCUUCGGCGGGACUUCGCGCCCGCCGGGGACCCAAACCUUCUGAAUUUUUUAAUAAGUAUCUUCUGAGUGGUUAAAAAAAAAUGAAUCAAAACUUUCAACAACGGAUCUCUUGGUUCUGGCAUCGAUGAAGAACGCAGCGAAAUGCGAUAAGUAAUGUGAAUUGCAGAAUUCAGUGAAUCAUCGAAUCUUUGAACGCACAUUGCGCCCGUCAGUAUUCUGGCGGGCAUGCCUGUUCGAGCGUCAUUACGCCCCUCAAGUCCCCUGUGGACUUGGUGUUGGGGAUCGGCGAGGCUGGUUUUCCAGCACAGCCGUCCCUUAAAUUAAUUGGCGGUCUCGCCGUGGCCCUCCUCUGCGCAGUAGUAAAACACUCGCAACAGGAGCCCGGCGCGGUCCACUGCCGUAAAACCCCCCAACUUUUUAUAGUUGACCUCGAAUCAGGUAGGACUACCCGCUGAACUUAAGCAUAUCAUUAAGCCGGAGGA
rnacentral:rRNA from 1 species